rnacentral:rRNA from 1 species
UACGUAGGGGGCUAGCGUUGUCCGGAUCUAUUGGGCGUAAAGAGCGCGUAGGCGGCUAGGUAGGUCUGCUGUGAAAACUCGAGGCUCAACCUCGAGACGUCGGCGGAAACCAUCUGGCUAGAGUCCGGAAGAGGAGAAUGGAAUUCCUGGUGUAGCGGUGAAAUGCGCAGAUAUCAGGAAGAACACCCGUGGCGAAGGCGGUUCUCUGGGACGGUACUGACGCUGAGACGCGAAAGCGUGGGGAGCGAACAGG